AUAUUUUUAUACGGUCUAUGGUCCAUACCAAGUACAGGUUCAGGAAGUGGCAAAAGUCACUUCUGCACGCAGCAGGUGUGACUGCUCUGCAUAUCUGCCGAGUUCUGGGUGGAUCUAGUAAUUAUUGUCGAACAUUCCACAGGUGUCACAGUCAGGUGUUUUCAGCGUUCUUGUCAUUGUCAGUACACGUUAUAAGGAAACAAAAAGUAAAUCUGAACCUCAUACUAAACAGAGAGUAGGGAAUACAGCUUGUGCAUUGUCUUCACAAGGACUGUGUGAAUAAAAUAUAAAAUACAAACUUAUCCAGCACACGAUGGCUCUGAGAAUUGCAGGCUUCGACUUAUCAUGGGGCAGUUUUUCAUUAUCAUUUGCCAAGCUAAAGAUGUCAAACGUCAACUUCAUAAUCAUGGGUAUUACUGGAAUAGUCUGCUUCGGAUUGAUGGUUCUCAUUUGAUUCCAGAUUGAGGAAGAAAUGAGGAGGAAAGGCAUUAGAAGUGGGCAUGAAUACAUUCCCCAAGCAAACUCUGAUGGCCCAAACAUCUGGCAGGGCUAUUCACUUCAGCCACCUGGGCACCCAAGUCUUUUCCUGUAUUUGUUAUGCUGUUUUGUCCACGUCUACUUAUGUGUUUCAGGAAAUCCUUAAUCC